rnacentral:lncRNA from 1 species
AUUUUAUUCUGUAGUGAACUAUGUGUUGUAUAUUUUGGUUACAGCACAUUAAAUUUGCAGGACCAUUAAAAAGUUAAACAGUGUAUUCUUUAUAUAUCAAGGGUUCUAGCUUCCAGUGGGUGAUUUGACAGCAUUGCCUUUCUUGAAGUCAUGGGCCAGAAGGAUUAAGGGCACAUCAGAUUACUGAUUUUCUAUGGGGAAAUCCAAGUAAAGGAACUCUUAUCUGAAGAGUAAUCGCACCACACAGGAGCAAGAAUCUGUGCCAUUCCUGUUGUCAACCAUUGACAAGUAUCUUUGGUUUCUAAUCCAGUGCUGGCCUGGCUAAGAAGUCCUUCCGAGGCAACUCUGGCAGCCAUAUCACCCUGUGACUCACAACUGGCAACCCACUGAAGCUAAGCAGGUGAGCCUGGUCAGUACCUGGAUGGGAGACCUCCUGGGAAAAACUAAGGUUGCUGCUGGAAGAGGUGUUAGUGGGGCCAGCAGGGGGCGCUCACCCUGUGGUCCAUGUGGGUCCUAAUGCCCCAGUAUAGCGACGGGGACACUAUACUGUAAACAGGAGCUGUCCUUCGGAUGAGACGUAAAACCGAGGUCCUGACUCUCUGUGGUCAUUAAAAAUCCCAGGGCGUUUCUCGAAAAGAGUAGGGGUGUAACCGGCAUCUUGGCCAAAUUUCCCAUUGGCCCUUACCAAUCAUGGCCUCCUAAUAAUCCCCGUCUAUGAAUUGGCUUCAUUACUCUGCUCUCCUCCCCACUGAUAGCUGAUGUGUGGUGAGCAUUCUGGUACACUAUGGCUGCCGUCGCAUCAUCCAGGUGGGGCUGCACAUUGGUGGUGGUAGUGGAGGGGAGUCCCCAUUACCUGUAAAGCGCUUUGAGUGGAGUGUCCAGAAAAGCGCUAUAUAAGUGUAAGCAAUUAUAAAUUAUUAUUAAUUAUUAUUCCUGGCUCAGUAUUGGAAGAUGGAUGCCCGAAAGCCCAUCUACCAG